rnacentral:rRNA from 1 species
UACGGAGGGUGCAAGCGUUGUUCGGAAUUAUUGGGCGUAAAGGGCAGGUAGGUGGUCUUGUAAGUCUACUGUGAAAUCCCCGGGCUUAACCUGGGAAGUGCGGUGGAUACUGCAGGACUAGAGUGCUGGAAGGGUGCGUGGAAUUCCCGGUGUAGCGGUGAAAUGCGUAGAGAUCGGGAGGAAGGCCGGUGGCGAAGGCGGCGCUCUGGAACAUUUCUGACGCUGAGGCUCGAAAGCGUGGGGGGCAAACAGG